ACUCCAUUCAGUUCUUGACAUUCAACAUGACACCAGCUUAUCUUAUCAUCGCCUUUCUCUGGAUUAAAGGAGUUUACCCCAAUAAACAAAAUCAGGUUUUUCAGUCUCCAACUCAACUGUUAGGAAAACCAAACAUUCAAAUAAACCUGACCUUAACUCAUAACAUCUCGAGCUAUGACACAAUUCUGUGGUAUCACCGCUCAGCAGGAGACACCUCCAUGAAACUGGUUGCAUAUGUCAAUUAUAAAACCCCGAAAGUUGAGCCGGGUUUUGAAAGCCGUUUCAGUGUGAGUGGAGAUGGAGAGAAAACCGGUUAUCUUCACAUCCUGAACCCAAAACACCCCGAAGACAGCGGAGAAUAUUUUGGAGCAGCAAUAAAGACUUCAUUCAGUUCUUGACAUUCAACAUGACACCAGCUUAUCUUAUCAUCACCAUCAUCAACUUUCUCUGGAUUAAAGGAGUUUACCCCAAUAAACAAAAUCAGGUUUUUCAGUCUCCAACUCAACUGUUAGGAAAACCAAACAUUCAAAUAAACCUGACCUUAACUCAUAACAUCUCGGGCUAUGACACAAUUCUGUGGUAUCACCGCUCAGCAGGAGACACCUCCAUGAAACUGGUUGCCUACAUCUAUUAUAAAACCCCAAAAGUUGAACCGGGUUUUGAAGGUCGUUUCAGUGUGAGCGGAGAUGGAGAGAAAACUGGUUAUCUUCACAUCCUGAACCCAAAACACCCCGAAGACAGCGGAGAAUAUUUUGGAGCAGCAAGUCAGGUGAGUGCUGUUACAUUUCAGCAAUCUCCUCCCCAAUUAGUGGCAGAGAAAAGUGAAGUCCAGAUCAACUGCAGCCAUAAUGAUGGGAACCUUGCUCUAAUGCUCUGGUAUCAGCAUAUGAAAGAAAAUCAGUCUAUGACCCUCAUUGGGUAUGGAUAUCAAAAUACCCGCCAAACAUUUGAGGGUGUGAUGUGUCUCUUAUAGACUUUGGCUGAACAAAACCGUGUUUGUCCUACAACAACACAAACUUGGAGGAUGUCAGCUGUGAUCGGGUUUCUUCUCGUCUUCCUUUCAAAUCAAGCCAGCAGUGUGACCUUUCAACCAUCUCAUCCAAGAAUAGUCACUGAAACAACCAAUGUUGAAAUUACAUGCAGUCAUGAUAAAAAUGACUUCUAUCUAAUGCUUUGGUACCAGCAAAAGGAAAAUGGUUUAAUGAGCCUCAUAGGAUACAGCUACUUCGGCAGUGACUCUGCCAAGGAAGAAGAAUUUGACAAUCGGUUUGACAUUAAAAGAGAAAACAUGCAAACAGGAGCUCUGAGCAUCAGCAGUGUGAUUGUAUCAGACUCAGCCAUGUACUUCUGUGCUGCCAGCACACAGUGAUGUGUUUUGAUGUAAUGCCAAUGCUAAAAACCUUCUUCUUUCUGAACCAGGCUGCUGGAAUGUGCCUCAAAAAUGUCUUUUUAGGCAAACUUUCAGUGGUUCAAACUCACAGAGUCUUUACUCCACAUACACACCAGUGAGCCUGGGGUGCCCACUUCCUUAAACCAGUUUUUUAGACCCUCUGAGUUCAUGUCAAAGUUUUUUAAUAACAUUUUUACACUUGCCAAGUACUUCCUUUUACAACACAUCAACUUCACUUGCUGACAUAUAAUCUUAUUAUAUUUGCAGGCUACAUGGUGUAAA